GAGCGCCGGCAGCUGCUGUGGCUGCGGUGUGAAUGAGGCAGGCGCGGCCGAGGGUUCAUCCCAGCGUUCCUACCGCCUUGCCCCUGCCCGCCUUAUUGCUUCUGGUCUACUUUGAGCAGCAACGGACUUCUUCUAAGCGAUUGGUGUGUAGGGAAUGGGAGCGACCGAGCGAGGUUCGUCCCCUUCCCCUCGGGUGGCUGCCGGGGGCACUGCGGGGCGUAGUCAAAGCCGAUUUUCAGGGCAGCCCGGGGAAGGGAGGCCGGGGGGGCCGCUGUGAGGGGAGAAAAUGCCGCGGGGCUUCAGAAGUCGACGAGAGACAGUCGUAGUGGCGGCUGCGGGAGCCGGAGCCCGGCGUAGGCGAUCCCAGCCGCGCUGUCAAGCUGCUCCGCGGCCGAGCUGAGGUGACGUGCAGCGGGCAGCGCCAGGCGCUCACCCGGCGGCCUGUAGCCUCCCGGCCGGCUGCGGAACGGUGAGCUAGAGAGCGGCAGCCCCUCAGCCCGCCCCGUCGUCCCUCUGGCGGGCUGCUGAAGGAGACCCCUUCCGAGGGGCGCGGUGUUUCGGAGUAGUGCCUAUCGAGGUGCUGAAGCGGGAGCUGAGCAGCGAGGAAGAGAAGAGCAGACCUCCCGGCUGCCUCGCUGAAGGCCUCAGCACUUGCCUGCGAACACAAAAUGACCACCUGUACUGACCAAAAAUCUAACUUUGUCAUGUGAUCUCCUGUUUGGGCCAAUUUUCCGAGCAAUCCCACUGUUAACGUAUAGAACACACAUCACUACAGGUGUGUGGGCUGAAUCAACGGGAAGCAUACCCAGGUGCCCAGUCCCUAAAGCCAAACACAAUUUUUUUUCUCCUAAGUCACAGAAAAAAAACUGUGGGCUCCGCCAGCAAAACUGUAUUGUUAGACUAACUUUUAAAGAACCUUAUACCACCAGAUAAACCACUUCUGGGGGUAUUGUGGCAGUGCUUUGGGCAGCAGUCUGAGAGCCCACCACUCUCUCGAAGUUGGACUCGGAAUCUUAGAAGCCUUUUCCAACCAUGACAAUUCUGUGACUGUCCAGGCUUUGAUGCAAACGACCUGUGGGUCCAAAAUGGGAACAGAAAAUAACCUGUGUGCUGUUGGUUGCUCACCCUCGCUGGAGCUUGGUGUGCGAGAUGAGCAGGGAGAAAAGCAGUGUCAAGUAAAGAAGAUAACAGCUCUUCCAUGAGAUAUACUGGAACUAAAUUUUGUGAGGAAACUUUUUGGUUUGGAAGCAUGAAAUGUAUUGACAUACUACUAAAAUCUGAAUGAAAGGAAUUUCUCAGGCGGUGUAUCUCCCCAUCUGGGUGUAGAAGAACUUAAGAUUCAACGUGUUACAAACAAACAUAUUCCACCUGUUACAACAAUCUGGCAUAUUACUUUCUUGAUACGUGAUGAUACAAUACCUCUCAGGUUUGCUGAGUAGCAAAGAGAAAUGUGACUUAUGCAUGAAGAGCAAAUAGAACUACCCUGAAGAUCAUACAUAACAUGUAUCUGUCCAUGAAGAGUGAAUACUAAAUAGUCUCUGGAGCUUGGCAGAAGGUUCAUUCAACGGCCAUCAUGAACUUUGCAUACUUUUGUUUAUUGUAUAAUAAGUAGUCAAAUACAUUUUCAGACACUAGAAGUGCAUUUUUCUAUAAUACAAAUUUUUAAGCAGGUUUCUUGGCAUGCAUUUUGUUUGUACUGUGCUUGAGGUUGUUUACAGCAUUAGUGGUUUGUGUGUUUGUGCAUGUUUGCAUUCUGUCUGUUUAUGAAGUAUUUCACUGGUACCCUUACACAGCAUGUGGUCGGUUGAAGAAUAUUUUUGGUAGUGUGUGUAGUCAUGAUGCAUUUUGCUGAAAGGCUUUUACACUAAGGCGGGUUAAACACUGCUUAUCUGCAGUUGUGUAAAGACAGCCUUGAAUGUUGUACUUGUCUUCAUACAAGUUGGAUAGAAAAAACCCCUGCACCAUUUUAAAGAUGAAAGUGUGAGUUGGUGCCAAUUUUUCCAAUAAUCAUGGCAGUUUGGUAUUUUUAUGAGUUACAUAAAGAUAGGACAAUUCUAUUAAUAACUGGAAUGUUGGUAUAUUUUUAUUAUCCUAGAUGUCAAAAAUAAUUAACAGAUUACUCAUUAUAUUAUAAUACUACCAUGUGUGUAAAUAAUUUCUAAAAUUAACUACAGAAGCAAAACCAAACCUCUAAUGGGUAAUUUUGAUCGCUUCAGUCUGUAAUUGUCAGCUAAGUACAGGCAAUACUUUCAAUACCCACAGACAGGGUUGUGAAAUCGAUCUCUGAAGAACACUGGAGUUAGAGUGUUAGUUGAUAUUUUUCCUGGUGUUUUGGAAUUAUAAGUUGUUCAGCAUGUGUCUAACAAGACAUUACAGGAAUGCUAUUUGCAAAACAUGUAGAUGCUGAGCAGCUCUAGUUACUUAAAGGUAUCCAUUCAGUAACGAUUUUGUGAACACUACAGAAUAAAAUAUUGGGGCUUUAUUUAUCUGCCUAACUGCUACUUAAGAAUGUAAUUCCCAUUAAUACUGUCCUACAGUUAAAGAAACUACUUCUGCAGGAAUUAUCGUGAAUAUGCAUGAAACUUAAAAGAAACAGAGCUGACCUAUAAUAAAUGCUCAUGAAAAUUCUAUCUUAUUACUAUUUUUGCUAAAGUUCCUCACAGGUAAUAAACACCAGAUAUCAACCCCAUAAUGUUUUCACACAAGUAUACCUGUGUUCUUCCUACAAACAUAAUAGUAGACAAUUUUCUAAUACUUCUUUUACAUUGCUCAAGUGUGCAUUUAUGAGAGCUUAGAUUCAUGUCAUUAAGAUUAUCUGGCUUUGACUAUGAGAAUAAAAUUAAUGAAUAUCAAUGAAAACAUUUCAUUUAUGUUGUACACAUUUUUUAUCUGCUUUCUGAAUACAAAAUAUUACACUUCUGUAUAAUUUUUAACACCAUGCUGUGCUGAGCAACUAUAGUUGCUUUUUAUGUAUAGUUCUGUAACAUACAUUGAGACCUUUGCUUAAGAAUAAUGAUUUAAGUGACUUUAAGUGAAUUAGAAAUAAGAUAGCUGAAGGUGGAAUUCAGACCCUCUAGCUGUUCUUUCUUCUUGUAACAUGCCAUACCUAUGUUAUUCCUGAGAAACCUAAAUUCAAUCCACAGAAAAUAACAUUUCUGUGCCUCAAGACAUAAGCGCCAUUCAUACAUUCAUACAGAAAUGAGAAGCAAAAUGUGUACAGAAAGUAACUUUCCAUCUCAUGACAGUAGCAGCAGGUUCAUAGUGUCAAAAAGAAAAAAAUAUUAUGAAAGGAAGCCAUGACUGACAAAGUGAACUGCGGUUCAUCUGCAGGUUGUACAACUUCAAUUCACUAACAAAGCAGUGGUAUUCUUUUUUUCAUGAAAUAGUAUUUUACAGUUAACAAAGUGAAAAUUAUAAAAAGUUCCUUCUUAUCACCACAAUAUACUCGUUUUAAAAUAAAUGUUUAUGCAUUGUAUAAAUUCAUAGAUCCUGACAUCUAUGUACGUAUUCUGCCAUAUUUUAAAUUGGGAGCAGAGGCUAUUAAUAAUAGCUGAAAGAUGAUACAAAUGACUGAAUUUUGCAAUAAUUUAUGUGGAAAUGUGUAUCCCUGCAGAAUCAAUGCAAAAAAAAAAUUCCAAAUAAUCACUAUAUAAGGGGUACUAUACUUCUAUGAAUUAAUAUGCAAUAUUUUAUAAGAUUUAGACUAUGUAUUCUUUGUUAUUGUAUAGUGGUAAUAUGCAUAGCAUAUUGAAAAUGCACACAAACUAUGUAUACAUUAUUGUUGUUGUUGUUAUUAUUAUUAUUUUCCAUAUUCUAUCUAUACAUAGGUUGUGUCUUUCAGUUCUUGUUUUUAUAUAAGUCAGGAGGGAUUCCAAUAAUGUCAGUGCUUAAAAUGUUGUAUGAGGUUAUCAUCAAGUCCAUUAAAUAUAGUAAACACAUAUUAACAUUUAAGAGAUGAGCCAAGACAAUACUUAACUACUUGUUUUGGGCUGUGUCCAAAUACUGACUGAUAUGCUAACCACUCACAAGUAUAGUAUUUUGAUAAUAUUCCUCAGCAGAUGUAAUGUUGUAAAGAAGACCUAUAUGACUUGGGUGUUCUUGAAAAUGGAACUUAACUUCUAUGUUAUUUAAAUGUAUUCAACAUUUUAGCCUUAAUAUUCUAUUUUGUGCUUCCAGUACAGUAAGAGUACUGCUGGAACAACAAUUUAACUUCCAGGAAAGUUCAGCAGAUCUUUUGGGACCUACAGCGUGAGAGAAGUCAGGCUCUGUUCAAGUAAGCCUGAUGUUCAUAACCCCCUAGAAAGCAUU